GUUUGAUAGUAUAAAAGAAAAUGCUAUUUCUUAUUCUGUUAGACCUGGCCUUUGGACAUCUUAAUCUCCAUCGAGAGGGGAGAAAUUUGCCAUCUUCAGAUUUAACAGACCAAGUAGAGUAGAAGUAGAAGUUGUAGACAGAAUAGUGUGAGAAGAACAUAGCAUAACACGGGUUCCAUAUAAAAUAUAAGGUGAUGCCAAUAAUACAGUAAUAGUAACGAUGAUAGCAAUAAUUAAAGUAUUAACUGCUAACGUAGCACUAAAACUAAUAGCAGUAUAAGUAAUUUCUAAUUCUAGCAGCAGGUGUUGAGUGGAGUUGUAGGAGCAGCAGGAGACUUGUCAUCGCAGAUCAGACUCUACAGCUCCAGAGGAAGAAAUACCUGCAGAAAGAGACAGAA